rnacentral:rRNA from 1 species
UACAGAGGUCCCAAGCGUUGUUCGGAUUCAUUGGGCGUAAAGGGUGCGUAGGCGGCGCGGUAAGUCGGGUGUGAAAUCUCGGAGCUUAACUCCGAAACUGCAUUCGAUACUGCCGUGCUUGAGGACUGGAGAGGAGACUGGAAUUUACGGUGUAGCGGUGAAAUGCGCAGAUAUCAGGAGGAACACCGGUGGCGAAGGCGGGUCUCUGGGCCGGAACUGACGCUAAGGAGCGAAAGCGUGGGGAGCGAACAGG